CACAAGCGGUGGAGCAUGUGGUUUAAUUCGACGCAACUCGAAGAACCUUACCAGGUCUUGACAUCCCGAUGCUAUUUCUAGAGAUAGAAAGUUACUUCGGUACAUCGGUGACAGGUGGUGCAUGGUUGUCGUCAGCUCGUGUCGUGAGAUGUUGGGUUAAGUCCCGCAACGAGCGCAACCCCUAUUGUUAGUUGCCAUCAUUCAGUUGGGCACUCUAGCGAGACUGCCGGUAAUAAACCGGAGGAAGGUGGGGAUGACGUCAAAUCAUCAUGCCCCUUAUGACCUGGGCUACACACGUGCUACAAUGGUUGGUACAACGAGUUGCGAGUCGGUGACGGCGAGCUAAUCUCUUAAAGCCAAUCUCAGUUCGGAUUGUAGGCUGCAACUCGCCUACAUGAAGUCGGAAUCGCUAGUAAUCGCGGAUCAGCACGCCGCGGUGAAUACGUUCCCGGGCCUU
rnacentral:rRNA from 1 species